GACGAACGCUGGCGGCGUGCUUAACACAUGCAAGUCGAACGGAAAGGCCCUGCUUUUGUGGGGUGCUCGAGUGGCGAACGGGUGAGUAACACGUGAGUAACCUGCCCUUGACUUUGGGAUAACUUCAGGAAACUGGGGCUAAUACCGGAUAGGAGCUCCUGCUGCAUGGUGGGGGUUGGAAAGUUUCGGCGGUUGGGGAUGGACUCGCGGCUUAUCAGCUUGUUGGUGGGGUAGUGGCUUACCAAGGCUUUGACGGGUAGCCGGCCUGAGAGGUGACCGGCCACAUUGGGACUGAGGUACGGCCCAGACUCCUACGGGAGGCAGCAGUGGGGAAUAUUGCACAAUGGGCGGAAGCCUGAUGCAGCAACGCCGCGUGCGGGAUGACGGCCUUCGGGUUGUAAACCGCUUUCGCCUGUGACGAAGCGUGAGUGACGGUAAUGGGUAAAGAAGCACCGGCUAACUACGUG
rnacentral:rRNA from 1 species